UAGUCCACGCUGUAAACGAUGAGAACUAGUCGUCGGGAGGGUUUGCCACUCGGUGACGCAGCUAACGCACUAAGUUCUCCGCCUGGGGAGUACGCCGGCAACGGUAAAACUCAAAGUAAUUGACGGGGGCCCGCACAAGCGGUGGAGCAUGUGGUUUAAUUCGAUGCAACGCGAAGAACCUUACCUGGUCUUGACAUCCUGCGAACUUUCCAGAGAUGGAUCGGUGCCUUCGGGAGCGCAGUGACAGGUGCUGCAUGGCUGUCGUCAGCUCGUGUCGUGAGAUGUUGGGUUAAGUCCCGCAACGAGCGCAACCCUUGUCUCUAGUUGCCAGCACUUCGGGUGGGAACUCUAGAGAGACUGCCGGUGACAAACCGGGAGGAAGGUGGGGGAUGACGUCAAGUCAUCAUGGCCCUUAUGACCAGGGGCUACACACGUGCUACAAUGGCCGGUAC
rnacentral:rRNA from 1 species